ACGAAGGGGGCUAGCGUUGCUCGGAAUGACUGGGCGUAAAGGGCGCGUAGGCGGCGCACUUAGUCGGGCGUGAAAGUCCUGGGCUCAACCUGGGGACGGCGCUCGAUACGGGUGUGCUUGAGUGGGGAAGAGGGUCGUGGAAUUCCCAGUGUAGAGGUGAAAUUCGUAGAUAUUGGGAAGAACACCGGUGGCGAAGGCGGCGACCUGGUCCUUGACUGACGCUGAGGCGCGAAAGCGUGGGGAGCAAACAG
rnacentral:rRNA from 1 species